UCCGGUUUAGCACCGGCAGUCCUCCCAGAGUCCCCGCCAUAACGCGCUGGCAACUGGGAGCGGGGGUUGCGCUCGUUGCGGGACUUAACCCAACAUCUCACGACACGAGCUGACGACAGCCAUGCAGCACCUGUGCACGGGCUCCGAAGAGGGGCCGUGGUUUCUCACAGCUUUCCCGUGUAUGUCAAGCCUAGGUAAGGUUCUUCGCGUUGCGUCGAAUUAAACCACAUGCUCCACCGCUUGUGCGGGCCCCCGUCAAUUCCUUUGAGUUUCAGCCUUGCGGCCGUACUCCCCAGGCGGGGCACUUAAUGCGUUAGCGUCGGCACUCAGAGGGUCGCUCCCCCAAGCACCUAGUGCCCAUCGUUUACGGCGUGGACUAC
rnacentral:misc_RNA from 1 species